UGCAAGCCGAGCGGUAGAUUGCUUUCGGGCAAUUGAGAGCGGCGUACGGGUGCGGAACACGUGUGCAACCUGCCUUUAUCUGGGGGAUAGCCUUUCGAAAGGAAGAUUAAUACCCCAUAAUAUAAGARACGGCAUCGUUUUUUAUUGAAAACUCCGGUGGAUAGAGAUGGGCACGCGCAAGAUUAGAUAGUUGGUGAGGUAACGGCUCACCAAGUCGACGAUCUUUAGGGGGCCUGAGAGGGUGAUCCCCCACACUGGUACUGAGACACGGACCAGACUCCUACGGGAGGCAGCAGUGAGGAAUAUUGGACAAUGGGUGAAAGCCUGAUCCAGCCAUCCCGCGUGAAGGACGACGGCCCUAUGGGUUGUAAACUUCUUUUGUAUAGGGAUAAACCUUUCCACGUGUGGAAAGCUGAAGGUACUAUACGAAUAAGCACCGGCUAACUCCGUGCCAGCAGCCGCGGUAAUACGGAGGGUGCAAGCGUUAUCCGGAUUUAUUGGGUUUAAAGGGUCCGUAGGCUGAUUUGUAAGUCAGUGGUGAAAUCUCACAGCUUAACUGUGAAACUGCCAUUGAUACUGCAAGUCUUGAGUGUUGUUGAAGUAGCUGGAAUAAGUAGUGUAGCGGUGAAAUGCAUAGAUAUUACUUAGAACACCAAUUGCGAAGGCAGGUUACUAAGCAACAACUGACGCUGAUGGACGAAAGCGUGGGGAGCGAACAGGAUUAGAUACCCUGGUAGUCCACGCCGUAAACGAUGCUAACUCGUUUUUGGGGCGCAAGCUUCAGAGACUAAGCGAAAGUGAUAAGUUAGCCACCUGGGGAGUACGAACGCAAGUUUGAAACUCAAAGGAAUUGACGGGGGCCCGCACAAGCGGUGGAUUAUGUGGUUUAAUUCGAUGAUACGCGAGGAACCUUACCAAGGCUUAAAUGGGAAAUGACAGGCUUAGAAAUAGGCUUUUCUUCGGACAUUUUUCAAGGUGCUGCAUGGUUGUCGUCAGCUCGUGCCGUGAGGUGUUAGGUUAAGUCCUGCAACGAGCGCAACCCCUGUCACUAGUUGCCAUCAUUAAGUUGGGGACUCUAGUGAGACUGCCUACGCAAGUAGAGAGGAAGGUGGGGAUGACGUCAAAUCAUCACGGCCCUUACGCCUUGGGCCACACACGUAAUACAAUGGCCGGUACAGAGGGCAGCUACACAGCGAUGUGAUGCAAAUCUCGAAAGCCGGUCUCAGUUCGGAUUGGAGUCUGCAACUCGACUCUAUGAAGCUGGAAUCGCUAGUAAUCGCGCAUCAGCCAUGGCGCGGUGAAUACGUUCCCGGGCCUUGUACACACCGCCCGUCAAGCCAUGGAAGUCUGGGGUACCUGAAGUCGGUGACC
rnacentral:rRNA from 1 species